CGCGACUCGCGGCGGCCAGCGCCAUCUUGGCUGUCACAGGAUCUAGACCCACCGAGCGGCGCAACCAGCAGCCGGGCGUUGCAGACUCCUCCUCUCGGACCCGCCCCGUCACCCCCAAGUCACGGGCAGCCAGCCAUUCCGCAGCCUCCAGUGGACUGGGAGCGGCCUCCCGAGCCAGUAACUCGGUGCAGGCUGAGACCACACCCACCCAGGCUCACAGCAGCUGGCAGCACUAGUGAGUACUUCAGAAAACGUGCUCUUGGUGAUACACCCCACCGAGUAAGAACCAGACUCUACAAAGGGCUCCACAGAGACUCAGAAUCACCUGGGUUGGAAACCCAUUCCAAGGGUCCCACAGGCAAUCAGUGCAUAUGUGCAAGUCAGAGGACAACUUGUGGGAGUCAUCACACACCACCAUGUGGAUCCUGGAGAUUGAACUCAGGUUGUCAUAGGCUUGGCAGCAAAACCUUUACCCGCUGAACCAUCUUGUCAUCCCCUGGUCUACUUUUCUAAUAAUUAUGGUAACGAUCAGGCUAGCUCUCCUGGACUCACUUGGAGCGGGAACGCCGCCUGUUGUCAUGCCUGCGCCGGGAAGGACUUGGGGAGCCGGAGGAGCUGCUAGAACUGGAGCUUCGGGAAGUGCUGGAGCUUCCUGAGCGGCUGGACGCAGAAGAGGAGCUAGAACCACUGCUUGAGCCUGUGCUGGUGCUGGAGCCCGAGCUGGAGGUUGAGCUGGAUCGAGACCUGAGGAAAAGGUGGGGGUAUCAGAGUCCAUGAGCAAGAGUCACAUUCUACACAGAAGACCGCCCAAAGAGGAACAGCUCCCCUGGUUCUCUAAGCCUCACUGCUUUCAUCAGCAAUGAUGCCUGUCAGAUCACCACUUCAGCCUUCAACAGGGCUGUAGGUAGACUCAGGCACGUCUUCAACUACGAAAAAAUGAGCUCUAGGGUUGAAAAAAAUAGCUCAGCAAGUAGGAGCACUUGCAGAGGACCCAGGUGUGGUUUCCAGCGUCCACACAGCAACUCACAAUUGCGUGUGACUACCAUUUCAGGGCACCCAAUGCCCUCUUCAGGCUUCUGUAGGAAGGAACUAGGUACACACAUGGUAUGCAUACAUACAUGCAGACAAGACUCAUAUACUUAAAAAGAUUCUAGACUGAAGUCAUCCAAUCUCAAUUCAGAAUGAAAGAAUGAAUACAUACUUGCAAGAAAAACAAUUCAUGUCAUCUAAACAUCACAUUUCUUAGUAUCAUAGAAGAGUUCAUAUCCAUAAACAUACAUUACAUAUCAAGACCAUGUAUCAUAUAUAAUGAGAUGAAACUCAAAACCAGGGUCUGGUUGCUUUCAAAGUAGUUAAGAAAAGGUAGCCUUCCCUUGGCCUCAAUUCACUUGGCAAGCUUCAGGCUCCCAUGAAAUCCUGUCUUAAAAACGAGCUGGAUAGCUCCUACAGAACACCUGUUAUACAGGACUAUCCUCCCAGCCAACUGCUGUCCUUUUCAGUUCACCUGGGCCUGCUCACCAAUCACCACAGCUGGGCUAGUCUCUUAAAAGAAGAGACAGGGAGGCUCAAAGGACCCCCACGGAGGAUCCAGCCACCCCUCCCAACCAGCUGCAGUAUGCAAUUCUGCCCUAACUAACUGCACAUGGCUUGAAGUAGGGAUUAUGAGGGGUGGGAGCCCCACCCACACAACCACAGGGGAGUUAUCAGCCACACUCCUUCCAGUGCUGGCCACACCCACUGCACUGUAGGUGAUCCUAAUAAACUCAACAGUUCCCUUCCCUGAGUGCACUCUGGUGAAGAGCAUCUUGUUUGUGGGUGGGAACACAGAAGGGCAGCCGUUCUUUACACUUCCCAAGGGAAGGACUCAGCACCGGGGCUGGUCUCUGGCCUCCACAGCUGCAGCAGUGGCCCCUCUGCCCCACCUGGUGCUGCUGCUCCCACUUGAAGCACUCCGUCUCUUCCGAGUCUUAUCCCUGCCACGGUCCUUCUCACUUGACUCUUUAGUGGCCCCUUUAUCUUUAGAGCGAUCCUUGGACUUCUCGUCAGAGCGGUCCUUGCGUUUGGUAGGAGAAGGAGCCCUGCAUGGUGAGGAAGAAUGUGAGGUUGCAAGCUCCCCUGACCAAACCCUGAAAUAGUACAACCCAGUAGUGGGGUCCAAAGGGAAUACUAAGACCCCAGGUGAUCACAGAGCAAAACGAUCUGUGUAUGAGGACACUCACUGUAGAACACAAAAUCUCCCCUCUCUGAGGGUCCCUAAACAGCAAGCACCCCCAAAAUAGCACUAGAAAAAUCUUACAGAAGGAUUACCUAGUGCUGGACUUUUUAUUAUUUUCUUUGACUCCUAGCAAGCUCUUCUUUUUCACUCCUGAUAAAUCCAUUCUCCCCUUCUGAGGUGUUCAAAGCAGCAAUGUCGGCCUCACUUAUCUGAACUCUCACUUCUAACUCGAGUCUGAGAAACGAUCCCUAAUCGAUUGCAAUUUACGCCAAAGAGCAGCCUAGUAACAAGAUAAAAGGAUUUAAAGAGUAAACGAAUUGACAAGGCAACAAAUCCACUUUGCAACAAAAAGUUGAACACACAAGAAGAGAGCAAGGGAACACAGCAAACAGCCAAGUGUCUACACAGCCUGGACACUCGGAGGACAGCCCUCAUCUCCUCAUGGAGGCACAAAUGGAAUGGCCACCUUAGUUUGUCUUUUUUUACACGUCUAAGGUACAGGAAUAUUAAGAUUCUUCAUUGUUUUCAUGAAUGAAAUGGGGAUGGUAACUGUUCCUAUCACUGUUAUUUUAGAGCCUGCCUAACACUAGAGUUCACUGGUAAGUUGGAUAAUGAGCCAGCCAGCCAGCCACCCGGAAGCGGCUUUCAAAAUACUAGAUACCACAAUGGCCUCAGAGGAGAAAAACCCAAUUUGUAGAUCAACUGACAGGCUCAGAUUUAUUUGUCUUAUUGCCACAAUUCCCUUUGGGGAUACACUGAGUGAUGACUAGGUCAUCUUGAGUGACAAGCACUAAAACAUUAAAUAUUCGACACAAAUGGACAAAACAUCACACAAGAGCAUAAAGAAGGGUCCUAAAGCUGGGCGGUGGUGGCACACACCUUUAAUCCCAGCACUUGGGAGACAGAGAAGGCGAAGAGAUGGAGGUCAGCCUGCUCUACAGAGCUAGCUCCAGGACAGCCAAGAGGGCUACACAAAGGAAUCCUGAGGGGUGGGGAGGGGAGCAAGAAAAAGCAAGACUAUAAAUGUGACUUGCUGGAUCCAGGCAGCAGUCAGUGGGCACAAAUAUGUAAUUCCUUCUUUCUCCACCUUGAGAUUUGGAAUGGGGAGAGAUCUCACAGGCUGUGUAAGGGUUUGUUAGCAAUAUGCUAAAUAACAGUAACAAUAAAAUAGAAACUGCUUCCUGUGCCCUCUUCUCAGGGAGCCAAAUACUAUCCAAGGCCUCAGGAUAUAUCUUAACUCUCUUUUCUCAUCUUCAGCUGUAACCAAGAAAGAAUACAGCAUCUGGAGUUUGAUUUGAGAGACAGGGCACUUCUAAAUGCUGCUGAGUAAGUAUUCUAGCCCAAAAGAGAAGAGCCCUUGCCUUUGGACAAAUGAAUGGAACAUGGGAAAUGAUUCCUAUACAGCUCCUUUCCAGGGCUAUAAAAUCUUUUCAAGCUGUUUGCCCUAAAUAUACUAGACAUACCCACCAGGGAACACAAGUAACUCACGGUCUGGAGUAAGCAAGCAUGCCUCCUGUGCUUGAUGUCAUGCUUCACUAUUGUCAUCCUGGUCAGGACACUCACUCUUACAAUUUUGUUUAUCGAGACAGGAUCUCUCUAUUACAUAGCCCUGGCUGUCCUGGAACUCACUCUAUAGACCAGGCUUGCCUUGAAUUCAGAGAUCUUCCUGGGAU